GAGUUUGAUCGUGGCUCAGAUUGAACGCUGGCGGCAUGCCUUACACAUGCAAGUCGAACGGCAGCACGGGAGCUUGCUCCUGGUGGGCGAGUGGCGAACGGGUGAGUAAUGCAUCGGAACGUAUCCUGGAGUGGGGGAUAACGUAGCGAAAGUUACGCUAAUACCGCAUAUUCUGUGAGCAGGAAAGCGGGGGACCUUCGGGCCUCGCGCUCUUAGAGCGGCCGAUGUCGGAUUAGCUAGUUGGUGAGGUAAAGGCUCACCAAGGCGACGAUCCGUAGCAGGUCUGAGAGGAUGAUCUGCCACACUGGAACUGAGACACGGUCCAGACUCUACGGAGGCAGCAGUGGGAA
rnacentral:rRNA from 1 species